rnacentral:rRNA from 1 species
GCACCGUCGUAUGAUGCGAUGGGGGGACGGAUCGCGGAAGGUUGUCCAGCGGUUGGAAGUGCUGGUUUUUGACUCAUAGAAGGCGCUUAGGCAAAUCCGGGCGCGGAAUUCAAGGGGUUGAGACGAGAGACUUAGGUCUUGAAGCAAUCGGAAGUGGUUCCAAGAAAAGCCUCUAAGCUUCAGUCAUACGAGACCGUACCGCAAACCGACACAGGUGGGCGAGAUGAGUAUUCUAAGGCGCUUGAG